CAGUACCUAAAGCUGGGGAUGACUCAACGAUCAGCCCCGGUGUCAGGAAACUCCACCUGGAAACCUCCUUCCCACAGAUGCUGUACCAGAAUGACUUACACCUGACUCCCACGCUCCACCUCACCGGCAAGAACUGGAUAGAAAUCCCAGUGCCUGAAGACAUUGGCCAUGCCCUGGUACAAAUUCGGACCACAGGGCCCGGAGGGGAUGGGAUCCCUGCAGAAGUCCACAUCGUGAGGAAUGGAGGCACAAGCAUGAUGGUGGAGAACAUGGCAGUCCGCCCAGCACCACACCCUGGCACCGUCAUUUCCCACUCCGUGGCGAUGCUGAUCCUCAUAGGCUCCCUGGAGCUCUGAUCCUGGAACCCCUCCCUCUGCGCCGCAGCUGGACGCCACCUCCGACGGACACAGCCAGCCCCUUCCUGCUGCCAAGGUGGCCUGACACUGUGCCAGAGAGUGGCUGGUUUUAAAUACCUACUUUAAACAGUGCCCUUUUUGUAGGAGGUAGGAUAUUUUAUAUUCUGCCGCAGGAUAGAACCCACGCAAGGAUUUUCUUUAAAUUGAGAGGCACCAGGCAGUAACUUCCAUGAUGACACUGACGCCUAUACCUGAGCUCUAGGCUGCCUGGAGGGAA
rnacentral:sRNA from 1 species